GUGGAUUAGAUACCCUGGUAGUCCACGCCCUAAACGAUGUCAACUGGUUGUUGGGUCUUCACUGACUCAGUAACGAAGCUAACGCGUGAAGUUGACCGCCUGGGGAGUACGGCCGCAAGGUUGAAACUCAUAGGAAUUGACGGGGACCCGCACAAGCGGUGGAUGAUGUGGUUUAAUUCGAUGCAACGCGAAAAACCUUACCCACCUUUGACAUGGCAGGAACUUACCAGAGAUGGUUUGGUGCUCGAAAGAGA
rnacentral:rRNA from 1 species